CGAACGAGUUCUGAUUAUUGAAAGGUGCUUGCAUCUUGAUUUAAUUUUGAACGAGUGGCGGACGGGUGAGUAACACGUGGGUAACCUGCCCUUAAGUGGGGGAUAACAUUUGGAAACAGAUGCUAAUACCGCAUAAAUCCAAGAACCGCAUGGUUCUUGGCUGAAAGAUGGCGUAAGCUAUCGCUUUUGGAUGGACCCGCGGCGUAUUAGCUAGUUGGUGAGGUAACGGCUCACCAAGGCAAUGAUACGUAGCCGAACUGAGAGGUUGAUCGGCCACAUUGGGACUGAGACACGGCCCAAACUCCUACGGGAGGCAGCAGUAGGGAAUCUUCCACAAUGGACGCAAGUCUGAUGGAGCAACGCCGCGUGAGUGAAGAAGGCUUUCGGGUCGUAAAACUCUGUUGUUGGAGAAGAAUGGUCGGCAGAGUAACUGUUGUCGGCGUGACGGUAUCCAACCAGAAAGCCACGGCUAACUACGUGCCAGCAGCCGCGGUAAUACGUAGGUGGCAAGCGUUAUCCGGAUUUAUUGGGCGUAAAGCGAGCGCAGGCGGUUUUUUAAGUCUGAUGUGAAAGCCCUCGGCUUAACCGAGGAAGUGCAUCGGAAACUGGGAAACUUGAGUGCAGAAGAGGACAGUGGAACUCCAUGUGUAGCGGUGAAAUGCGUAGAUAUAUGGAAGAACACCAGUGGCGAAGGCGGCUGUCUGGUCUGUAACUGACGCUGAGGCUCGAAAGCAUGGGUAGCGAACAGGAUUAGAUACCCUGGUAGUCCAUGCCGUAAACGAUGAAUGCUAGGUGUUGGAGGGUUUCCGCCCUUCAGUGCCGCAGCUAACGCAUUAAGCAUUCCGCCUGGGGAGUACGACCGCAAGGUUGAAACUCAAAGGAAUUGACGGGGGCCCGCACAAGCGGUGGAGCAUGUGGUUUAAUUCGAAGCAACGCGAAGAACCUUACCAGGUCUUGACAUCUUUUGAUCACCUGAGAGAUCAGGUUUCCCCUUCGGGGGCAAAAUGACAGGUGGUGCAUGGUUGUCGUCAGCUCGUGUCGUGAGAUGUUGGGUUAAGUCCCGCAACGAGCGCAACCCUUAUGACUAGUUGCCAGCAUUUAGUUGGGCACUCUAGUAAGACUGCCGGUGACAAACCGGAGGAAGGUGGGGAUGACGUCAAAUCAUCAUGCCCCUUAUGACCUGGGCUACACACGUGCUACAAUGGAUGGUACAACGAGUUGCGAGACCGCGAGGUCAAGCUAAUCUCUUAAAGCCAUUCUCAGUUCGGACUGUAGGCUGCAACUCGCCUACACGAAGUCGGAAUCGCUAGUAAUCGCGGAUCAGCACGCCGCGGUGAAUACGUUCCCGGGCCUUGUACACACCGCCCGUCACACCAUGAGAGUUUGUAACACCCGAAGCCGGUGGCGUAACCCUUUUAGGGAGCGAGCCGUCUAAG
rnacentral:rRNA from 1 species